GUAUUACGGAAGAGGCAGAGCUGGGGAGAUAAUGGACCACGGCACAGACGAAGCCCAUAUUGACCCAGGGUGUCAGGGCUGUCAGAGUCAGCCAGAAGACAGCUCCGAGGCCAGUGAGCAGCAGGACCUCGAUGAACAACUGAGUCCAGCCAAAUUCUCUGCACUGUCAUUCAGCAAGUGCAUGUUGGGCACGUCCAGUGUGGCGGGAACCAUGCUGGAUCAGGGGGCUUGGAGGCAAGUGACACUGGUGUCCUCAAGGACGAGGCUGGAAAUGCCAGCACUUCCCAAGAGGCUGUAGCAGG
rnacentral:lncRNA from 1 species